GCCGCGGGAAUACGUAGGGUGCGAGCGUUAAUCGGAAUUACUGGGCGUAAAGCGUGUGCAGGCGGUUUGUUAAGGCAGAUGUGAAAUCCCCGGGCUCAACCUGGGAACUGCAUUUGUGACUGGCAAGCUAGAGUGUGGCAGAGGGGGGUGGAAUUCCGCGUGUAGCAGUGAAAUGCGUAGAUAUGCGGAGGAACACCGAUGGCGAAGGCAGCCCCCUGGGCCAACACUGACGCUCAUGCACGAAAGCGUGGGGAGCAAACAGGAUUAGAUACCCCCGUAGUCCCUGUCUCUUAUACACAUU
rnacentral:rRNA from 1 species